rnacentral:misc_RNA from 1 species
UCUCCGUUGGUGAACCAGCGGAGGGAUCAUUACAGAGUUUUUAACUCCCAAACCCAUGUGAACCUACUAUUUUGUUGCCUCGGCGGGUUCUGCCUCCCAUCUCGGGAGCAGGCUCAAGCCCGCCGGUGGCCCAUUAAACUCUGUUACUUUUAAGCAAUCUGAGUCUUUUAUAAAAUAAAGUCAAAACUUUCAACAACGGAUCUCUUGGUUCUGGCAUCGAUGAAGAACGCAGC